rnacentral:rRNA from 1 species
GAUGAACGCUGGCGGCGUGCCUAAUACAUGCAAGUCGAGCGAACGGACGAGAAGCUUGCUCCUCUGAGGUUAGCGGCGGACGGGUGAGUAACACGUGGAUAACCUACCUCUAAGACUGGGAGAACUUCGGGAAACCGGAGCUAAUACCGGAUAAUAUUUCGUACGGGAUGGUGCAAGAGUUAAAGACGGUCUUGCUGUCACUAAUAGAUGGAUCCGCGCUGCAUUAGCUAGUUGGUAAGGUAACGGCUUACCAAGGCAACGAUGCAUAGCCGACCUGAGAGGGUGAUCGGCCACACUGGAACUGAGACACGGUCCAGACUCCUACGGGAGGCAGCAGUAGGGAAUCUUCCGCAAUGGGCGAAAGCCUGACCGAGCAACACCGCGUGAGUGAUGAAGGUCUUCGGAUCGUAAAACUCUGUUAUUAGGAAAGAACAUAUGUGUAAGUAACUGUGCACAUCUUGACGGUACCUAAACAGAAAGCCACGGCUAACUACGUG